GCGGGCGUAGCUCAACUGGAAGAGCUCCAGCCUUCCAAGCUGGUUGUUGCCGGUUCGAAUCCGGUCGCCCGCU
rnacentral:tRNA from 1 species